AUUUGUAAUGCCUACAAUGUUAAUGCACUGGGUCCCAUUAGAAAUCUGCAGUUAAACAUGCUUGGGCUAGAGUAGUACUGGGAUGGGUGACCUCCUAGGAAGUCUUAUUGUUUUAAAUG
rnacentral:rRNA from 1 species